GACGGAGGGGGCGAGCGUUGUCCGGAUUUAUUGGGCGUAAAGAGCUCGUAGGCGGCUCAGCAAGUCGGGUGUGAAACCUCCAGGCUCAACCUGGAGACGCCACCUGAUACUGCUGUGGCUAGAGUCCGGUAGGGGAACACGGAAUACCCGGUGUAGCGGUGAAAUGCUUAGAUAUCGGGUGGAACACCAGUGGCGAAGGCGGUGUUCUGGGCCGGAACUGACGCUGAGGAGCGAAAGCGUGGGUAGCAAACAGG
rnacentral:rRNA from 1 species